UACGUAGGGACCAAGCGUUGUUCGGAUUUACUGGGCGUAAAGGGCGCGUAGGCGGCAAUUCAAGUCAGUUGUGAAAUCUCCGAGCUUAACUCGGAACGGUCAACUGAUACUGCUUUGCUAGAGUACAGAAGGGGCAAUCGGAAUUCUUGGUGUAGCGGUGAAAUGCGUAGAUAUCAAGAGGAACACCUGAGGUGAAGACGGGUUGCUGGGCUGAUACUGACGCUGAGGCGCGAAAGCGAGGGUAGCAAACGGG
rnacentral:rRNA from 1 species